GUUAAAACUCUUUUCUACCAUUUCUCACACUGCUCUGUCAUGACAGAACCAGCAACCCUUCAACUGACAGCCAGCAGCUUUAAUCACUUUUGGACAGCAGAUGGCUUCCCCCUUCACUGAGCUGGAGUACUACGUCAUUCUUUUUUCUCUACUAGUCUUCAGUCUGUUCACUCUGCAUGGCAUGAUACAAGAGAGAUGCUUAUCUACCACAGAACCAGAAGAACCACAAGAGCCACUCAUAGUCUGAACCCUACACUCAUUCAUGUUGAUAAAAGAUGCUGCAGGAUACAUUCUGGACUUAUCCCUGUUUAAAGGCUGUACCGGGAUCUGUGUGGACAAGUGUGAAGCAUGGCAGAAUAUAAUGGCCUAUUGGAUGUCUAUGGACUGAUCUGGGACCAGCUUUGGAGCCUACUGGACUGUAAGGAAGUCUGUAUGGCUCAUCCAGUGUUGAAGAGGCUUUCUUCGGCCUUGAUUCUUAAUGGCACUUAAUGACCUCAAGUGCUCCACAGACUCUGAUAAUGCACAAGCGUGUGUAUUUGUGUAAGGGGCAUGUCAGUGGUGUGCGCAAGUGAAAGGUACAUUGUGUGCUGACGUGGUUUAUGGAGUGCUCUUAGAAGCAGAGGACUUUGGCUGCUAUGAGGAGACGCUUAUG